AUGGAAGAAGGCAGUGACUAUUAUGUUGUCAAGAAAGGGGACAUGGUUGCUGUUUAUGAAACUUUAAAUGAUUGCCAGGCGCAAAUUUGCUCUUCGGGUCCUGCUGCAAGUGCCUACAAGGGUUACUGCUGGAGCAAAGAAAAGGCAGAAUACUUCUCUUCACGUGGACUAAUCAAUGCUUCGUAUACAAUCAGUGCAGCUGAACUUAGGGAAGAUUUAUUGGGUGCCCUUGUGCCCUGCACUUUCCAGGCAAGCUACGUGCAAGAGAAGUACGUAACCACACAACCAUCAAAUGUAACAUCUUACUUCUUAUCAAAUGAUAAUUUUGGUGGCGCUGCUAGAAGGAGGGCACAAGAGGGCCGGCCGGGGGCCUUUUGCUCACGGCCAGGCAAGAGGGAAGGGAUUUCCUUCUUAAUUCUUAUAUCUCGACUUCGUGAGGGUCUUGGUGUUGUUACCAAUAAUGUUGCCGAGUACCGGGGCCUUAUCUUAGGACUGAAAUAUGCCAUCAGGCUUGGAUUCAAGAGAAUCAAAGUAUAUGGUGACUCUCAACUAGUCUGUUAUCAGGUGAAAGGUACAUGGCAAGCAAAGAAAGAGAAUAUGAUGGAACUGUGCAAAGAAGUGAGAAAACUUCAAGAGAACUUCAUCUCUUUUGAGGUCCACCAUGUGCGACGGGAAUGGAACUCUGAGGCGGAUCGCCAGGCAAACAUAGCCAUCACCCUCGCAAGAUCUGUAACAGCCGCCCUGGCCUGCGUGCCGCCUCUCAAGGGCUCCCUCCUGUAUAUGAUGUACCAUUGUAACUGA
rnacentral:rRNA from 1 species